rnacentral:lncRNA from 1 species
GGAAAUUGGCCUGUUGCUAAAAGGCUCGAUGGUAAAUUUUACCAACCAUAUUGAAUUGGUUGGUAAACUUACAAACUAAAAAUUAGUUAGUAAACACCAAAUAAAUUUGUUGGCAAUUUUUGAAUAUUGAGUCCAAGAUUUUCGUUGGUAAAUUUACUAACAAAAAUUCAGUUGGAAGUUCGUUAGUAAAUUUACUAACAUAUAGAAAUCGAGUUAGUAAAAUUGGUUUUUGAUUAUUUAAAUUGUGUUUGUAAUUGGUUGGUAAAUAUAGUAACAAGAAAAAUUCCAUUAGUAUUAUGUUAGCAACUAUA